UGGAAGAUUCACAGUUUCUUCAUUUAGUGU
rnacentral:piRNA from 1 species